rnacentral:piRNA from 1 species
UGCUUCCACUGCUGACAACACAGGGAUGGAU